rnacentral:lncRNA from 1 species
AUGUUUGACACCCAUAUCCAAGAUAUGGCUUGUCUCCUUCUUCCUUUCUUUCCGUCUGGUGGUGUGCGUGAGUGCUCUGGUGGUCGUUGCCUGGGGUGCAGCUGGUUUGUGGUUCAUCGGGUCCCGCGACCAUGCUGGUAUGACCACUGGUUGGUACGUGGGUUUCCUGUAUAUGUCCGUAACGUAAUCCCCUGCUUCUGUAGUAAUCCGUACAUCUAAGAAAUGGAAGGUUUCCUUACUGCUCUGCUCUUUUCUCAAUGUUAGACCUAAUGUUCUAUCUGUCAUGUCUUCUAUAAAUUCAUCGCUGUAGUCUUUUUCUCUCCA